UUCGUUAAGCAAGUGGGAGAUUUCAAGUCUACACAUGGCACUACCGACUCAAUGCUAGGUGUGGAAAUUGUAGCCAUGACCAAAAUAUAUAUGUUGCGUUACUUUUGGUUGAGUAAUGGUAUUUAGACAAUAUUUGUAUUUUUAUCAUUUCAUCAUUA